rnacentral:rRNA from 1 species
UUUCAAACCAAAACGUAAGUUACGCAUAUAAGGAAUAAAAGUAUAAUUUAUACUAUUAUAAAUAACCAUAAUUUUUAGUAAUAACUAUUACCUCAAAAAGAAUUGAAACAUCUUAGUAAUUUAACAAUAACUAUAUAUAAGUAGUGGCGAACGAACAUAUAAUUAUUUUAAACUCUAAAUUUGGUUUUACAACAAGACCUCUUUUAUUACCUAUAAAAAAAGUACCGUGAGGGAAUACCAGAAUUAACUUCUAAAAAACUGUGAACACCACUUACCUCUUGUAUAAUGGACUUGCUAGAUACUAUUAUGGUAAGCUUCUAGGCUUAAAAAUUUACAUAAAUCAUAAUAACCCGAAACCAAACGAUCUAAUCAUAAAAGUAGCAAGUACUAACCAGUGAAUGUGAAAAAAUUCUUGGAAUAUUUAUGAUUAGCAGCGAAAAACUAACCGAGUUUGGAUAUAGCUGGUUCUCUACGAAAUCUAUUAUAGUAGACCAUUUUAAUUCAGGACAGAAGAAAGGGAAAAACCUCUCUCUUCAAAAGGGAAAAAACCUCAAUUAGAAAUUUAAAUGUUAAAAAAUAAAAAUUAAAGUCUACAAGCGUUAAAAUAACUUAAAAGUAGGAUUAGAAACACCCAUCUUAUCAAAAACACGUAAUAGUAUAUUAAAUAAACGCUUUGGAUACUAAAAUAAAACAAAUAACCCUUUAAUAUUCUAAAUAAUACCAUAGUAGUAGAGUAAUCUAUCUUAAUAAAGCUAUUCAAUAGAAGAAAUAAUGCAAGUAUAAUUAAAAAUAUUUAUUUCUAAUAUUUCUUAUUUUAAUAUAUGAAUAAGUUAAUCCAAUCUCUUAUCCCAAAAUGAGAUGUACAAUCUAUCAUCUAGAAAAAACUGUGCUCUCAAUUGUAUUAAACUAAUUCAAGUAGAAACAAAGAAAAAGAUAAAUUUUCUCUUAGGAACUCCGCAAACUUUAUACCGACUGUUUACCAAAAACAUAGCCUUUUCUAUAUAUAAAAGGUGUUACCUGCCCAGUGACUUACAACUAAAGAAAGGAAAUUACUUAAAGUGAGUUUAAAGGACGCGGUAUCCUAACCGUGAUAAUGUAGCAUAAUCACCCGCCAUUUAAUUGAUGGAUAGUAUGAAUGGUAAAACGAGUAUAACACUCUCUCAGAGAAAAAUCUUAUGAAAUUGGAAUGGUAGUCAAGAUACUAUCUUAAACUGUAAGACGAGAAGACCCUAUAGAGCUUAACUAUAUCUUUCUCAUAAUAUUAAGUUCACUUAUACACCAGAAAGAUAGGUAGUUUAGUUGGGGCGACUACUUUCUAAAUAUAACGAAAGCAAGCAAUAUUAAUUCCUUAAUUUACUGUAUAACCUAUAAGUUUAAUAGUUAUAAAAAUAGGCAAUAAUGACCCGUUAACAAAAAAAAACAUCGUUAACGAACAUUAAACAAAAGCUACCUUAGGGAUAACAGGAUAAUCUUAUUUUAGAGACCUAAUCGAAAAUAAGGUUUGCCACCUC